GCCGAAGACAGAUGCUUAACUGACUGAGCCACCCAGGUGCCCCUGGGUCAAUAUUUUAAAUAUCAUCUGGCUGCUGAACAGAUGUCUUCAAGCAGGACUUGUAUGGUUGCAAGAGACAUAAACCCAACAGGAACUAGUCAAGGCUAACGGGAAGUGGAUCAGGGCUCACACCGAACAAUCAUGUGGGAACAGCUGGGGUGACUGCUUCAUCCAGUGCCGGCCCCUCAGCUAGUUGGCUGUGCCCCACAGAGUUGGAGCUAGAGCCGGUGAGGAUGUCUCAGAAGAGGGAGCGAGGCAUCCAGUGCCCACUGUGCUCAGACCUCACUUAAGUCAGCGCACUCCUGGUUCAGUUUCCUUCGCACUCCACCACCAUCACCACCAAAUGCACAAGUCUUUGAUUUUAAUUAAAAAAAAAAGGCACUUUGCCCCCAGGCUGAUAGUCUCCUGACUCACUCUCCCCUCUUCCACCCUUCAUCCCCACAGAUUCCUUUCUUACCGCUCAUCACGGACCCACUCUGUGUCCACUAGUCACUCCCUUUAUCCUCACUCUGUAGCCUCUGCUGCUCCUCUUUCUCCUUCCCCAGAGACCGGGCAUUCCUGUGGUCGGUAUGUGGCAGACCCUCAGCCCUUCUCCAACCCUGAGCUCCCGUCCUGGGCUCUGGGGCGGCAUAUCCUGCUGCCAGCCAAGUGACUAUAUGGGGUGACCCACGCGCACCUGCCUCACACUCCCACCGCCUAGAGGUUCACCCAGUCUCUGCAGAGUCUCCCGUCCCUUCCUACGGCCUUCCAGCAUUCUCUGCACCUCUCUCCACUGGCAGUUCCUGUGUUGACUCUUCUCCAUUUUUGUUCCUUACGUGGGAGCACCAAGCCACCCUGUGUGCAGAUUCUGGCUAACUCACUGUCAUCCUUCACCCAGACCCUCUGAUCCGGGGUUUGUGCCCCUCUGUGCUCCAGCAGCACCUGAGCACUCAGCUCUAAGCCUCUGCUUUCCCAGCUGACUACAAGCAGCUCCCAGACGAAUAAAGUCCUAUCCUCAGGGCCGACCAUUAGUUGGAGCUCAGUGGUGAACAAAUGGCUUUCUGUGCCCUGCUGAGAGGGAUAGGAGGAUGAAUUUCUGAGUCUGUAAUCUGGAAGGGGACAGCAAACGUUCUUGAAAAGCUACGGAUGUUGCCAGAAAGGAACCAGAGCAUCCCCUGGGAAGCUUAGUUCUGGUUUGGAUUUUUUUAAGGAAAACCACAAACAAAUUACAGAAAAAAUAAGGGCACCCCAUUCCUCUUUUAAAAUAAACACAGGGGACUUGAAUAAAACAUUCUGUAAACCCAAACCAGAACUAAGCUAGUUUAUUGAACUCAGUCAUUUUCACUAAACCACAAAACAAAUGUUUCCCUAAAAAUUACUUGGUUAACCAACACAUAUAAGAACAAAGUGUAUUUCCCAAAACAAUUUAACUGAAUAUACAGUCCACACAUGGCUUUGGGUCCCUGCUAAAGAUAAGUCAUUUUGGAAGUUCAUGUGUGCCUUCCUGGCUGGGCAGCUGAAGUCCAGGCGCCCUGUAGAUGACUGCGGUGCCCGUUACGCCAUCCCCUCCCCCAUCUUUACCGCAGGAUUUGACGCACCUGCUCUCCUAACGACUGGCCACCCCACGCCAAGCCUGACCCUGGCCCUUGCAUUUGCUGUUCAGCCCAAAUGUGGAGAUUGGCUAUUAACCCUGUAAACAGGCCUCUGCCCUCCCCCUGACCCCCAGGCUAAUAGCUGGCGGGAGAAAGCUGAGCUGACGCAGAUUGAGAGGUGGGGGCACGUUUUGAGUGUCCUAGAUUAGCUGUGCCCAACUGCAUGAAUAGUCCUGGGUUGAGCACAGGGGAAGGCUUGGAACCUUGAGAGGCAAAACUAUUCCUACACCCUGCUCUUUCAUAGGCCCACAGAUGCUGCACUGCCCUCUUAGCUGGGCCCCGGCUCAUGGGCCUCCUGGGAGGAGAGAAAAACCACCUGGGGGUAGGUGUGCCCCACCCAAACCUACCUCCGUCUGGAGUGACCCAGCCCUGGUGCCCAGGUGUGUGGAUGAGGACCACUCCAUCAACCCGGUUUACAGUGCGGCAAACAAGCCCUCAGGCCCUCAUAGUUUCCCCCAGACCUCUUCACAGGUUGCUGGGCUCCCCACUCAGGCUGCCAACUGUGUGGGACUCAGGGUCCCCAGGCAUUGCCACCUCCAGGCCACAGUUUACUUUUUGGGUCAGAGAAGACUGAGCGCUUUGUAGGCCAAAGGGCAGGAGCUUGAGGAUGCCUCCUGGGAAGUGGGAAGAUGAUUCUUGAGGGCCUGGCCAGGCUGGAGCAGGAGUCUUACCACUUCAGAUCCCUGGGAAGAUGGAGAGGGAGCAAUCUGUCUGGUGACCUAGGGCCACUGGCUAAAAAUACACUAGGAACACACACUGGUAAGGGAAGGGUGUUGGGUGGCAGGCUGCCCCCUUCCCUCUCUGAGACGUCACGGGAGUGCGUGGACCAGGAACGGGGUGGAGUCAGCUGAUCAAUAAAUCCCAGAGCUGGCUGUCUGGGGGUCCUACUGUCGCCUGGAGGAGCCACCUUAAGGAGCCACCUCAUCCACAGCUUUCCCUUGGUGAGUGAAAAGGCUGCUCUCCCCAAGGGCUGGGGCUUCUGGAUGGAAGUCUGUCCUGGGUGUGUGGCACACUGUUCCUUUUCUCCCCCCCAAGUCCCUGUCCUUCUACCCAUGAACCAUGUCCCAGGGGAAAAAAAAACCACCUUUCCCUUUCUCUCCCCAAUGCUGUUCCUCUGCCUGCUGCCUCUAGUGUAGGAGGGACAAGGGGUAGAAGCACUUGCCCCUGUCACCACCACACAUCCAUUCCAUAUCCCCACCUGCCAUGGAAGAGAUGGCAAGCCACAGAGAACAGAGGCAGCGUGCCAUGCACCAGGUGCCCCAAAUGCCCUUACAUUGCUGCUACUCUUGGAGAGCUCCCCUUACCCAAGUCUCUGUUCCUCUUCCCAACCUUCUCCCACUUCUGGAAUCCCUGAAGGAAGGAGGGAUAGGCCUGAUGGACUGAGGACAGUCCUCAGCUGGCAAGGCUGGGAUCCUCUGCACCCCAGGGGGCUCUGGGGAAGGCUAGCUGCCAGGAGCCUUUGGGGUGCAGAUCCCUACAGUCCUGGGAUGAGGAGCAGUGGCAGAAGAGGGAAGGACAUUAGGAAACACUAAAGCUGCCCCUGAAUUGCCAGUUGUCCGAGGGGGCCCUGAAAGAAAAGGAAGGAGGUAUGGAUGGAAGUGUCUCGUCUUGAGUGCUAUCCACUCUCCAUGGGAGCAGCCCUGCCAUGGCCCAUUGCAGGCUAGGCUUUCUGCUGCUACUGACCGUCCACCCUGGAUCCUCGAAGGCUCAGCACUGGUCCCAUGGCUGGUACCCUGGAGGAAAACAAGCUUCCAGCUCAGCCCAGCACCCCCAGCAUGCCCCAAGGCUCCUAGCAAGCAGCCCAGACCAGACUACCCUUGACUUCCCAAGCGAUCCCCUGGCUCCCCCCAAGAACAGUGUGGGAGGGCAGAACCACAGGCUGGUGGCCUCCGCUGGAAGCAGCACCUGGUGCAGAUACUGCUGACCGGACGUAGAGCGCCGCGCCCUGUCGCCCUCCAAUAAAGAUGUGAAGUCCCUGACGCUGCUGCCUCGAGGUCUCUCCUCUGUCCCCUUCUUCGCCCACCCUCACUAAGACCCUACCCCGCGUGGGGGCUGGAGGGACAUAGG